GUGUCAGCCGCCGCGGUAAUACGAAGGGGGCAAGCGUUGUUCGGAAUUAUUGGGCGUAAAGCGUAUGUAGGUGGUCUUUCAAGUCAGACGUGUAAGCCCUCGGCUCAACCGAGGAAUUGCGUUUGAAACUGAUUGACUUGAGUGUAGGAGAGGAAAGCGGAAUUCCCAGUGUAGCGGUGAAAUGCGUUGAUAUUGGGAAGAACACCGGUGGCGAAGGCGGCUUUCUGGCCUGCUACUGACACUGAGAUACGAAAGCCAGGGGAGCAAAGGGGAUUAGAUACCCCCGUAGUCCUGGCUGUAAACGAUGGGCACUAGGUGCGGGAGGUAUUGAUCCCUUCUGUGCCGCAGCUAACGCAUUAAGUGCCCCGCCUGGGGAGUACGGUCGCAAGGCUGAAACUUAAAUGAAUUGACGGGG
rnacentral:rRNA from 1 species